rnacentral:rRNA from 1 species
ACCAGACUCCUACGGGAGGCAGCAGUGGGGAAUAUUGCACAAUGGGGGAAACCCUGAUGCAGCGACGCCGCGUGAGUGAGGAAGUAUUUCGGUAUGUAAAGCUCUAUCAGCAGGGAAGAAAAUGACGGUACCUGACUAAGAAGCCCCGGCUAACUACGUGCCAGCAGCCGCGGUAAUACGUAGGGGGCAAGCGUUAUCCGGAUUUACUGGGUGUAAAGGGAGCGUAGACGGCUAGUCAAGUCAGAAGUGAAAGCCCAGGGCUCAACCUUGGGACUGCUUUUGAAACUGAGUAGCUAGAGUGCAGGAGAGGUAAGCGGAAUUCCUAGUGUAGCGGUGAAAUGCGUAGAUAUUAGGAGGAACACCGGUGGCGAAGGCGGCCUGCUGGACUGCAACUGACGUUGAGGCCCGAAAGCGUGGGGAGCAAACAGGAUUGGAUACCCUGGUAC